GGGGAAUUUUGGACAAUGGGCGCAAGCCUGAUCCAGCCAUUCCGCGUGAGUGAAGAAGGCCUUCGGGUUGUAAAGCACUUUAAGCGGGGAGGAAGGCCUGAUGGCUAAUAUCCAUCGGGAUUGACGUUACCCGCAGAAUAAGCACCGGCAAACUUCGUGCCAGCAGCCGCGGUAAUACGAAGGGUGCGAGCGUUAAUCGGAAUUACUGGGCGUAAAGCGCGCGUAGGUGGUUAAGUAAGCGAUCUGUGAAAGCCCCGGGCUUAACCUGGGAACUGCAGGUCGAACUGCUUGGCUAGAGUAUGGUAGAGGGGUGUGGAAUUUCCUGUGUAGCGGUGAAAUGCGUAGAUAUAGGAAGGAACAUCAGUGGCGAAGGCGACACCCUGGACCGAUACUGACACUGAGGCGCGAAAGCGUGGGUAGCGAAC
rnacentral:rRNA from 1 species